CAGCAGCCGCGGGAAUACGAAGGGGGCUAGCGUUGUUCGGAAUUACUGGGCGUAAAGGGCGCGUAGGCGGCCAUUCAAGUUAGAUGUGAAAGCCCUGGGCUCAACCUAGGAAUUGCAUUUGAUACUGUUUGGCUUGAGUUCGGGAGAGGUGAGUGGAAUUCCCAGUGUAGAGAUGAAAUUCGUAGAUAUUGGGAAGAACACCAGUGGCGAAGGCGGCUCACUGGACCGACACUGACGCUGAGGCGCGAAAGCGUGGGGAGCAAACAGGAUUAGAUACCCGGGUAGUCCCUGUCUCUUAUAC
rnacentral:rRNA from 1 species